AUCACCCCGUCUAGUCCUCGGGUUAUGGGGUAGGUGCUGUUAUGGAGCAGUCCCUGGUGUACCCAUGAGCUGCAGAGAGGCUCUUGGCUUGCUUUUUGUCACGCAGACGACCAGUGUCCUUCAGCCAGGUCCUAAGCCAAUCAGAAUACUGAUUCAAUGACUGUUAAGGUGCACCUGGACUCCCAGUUGAAGCCAGGCUUCGCUGCAAGCGCUGAGAACCUAGUUGGCCACACUGCUCUCCUCACAGCAACACCCAGCGUGUCAGUGCUACUUGCCCAGUGCUCUCCAUUUCACCGAGAGGUAAACCAAGGUCCGGAGUGGAGGACCCAAGUCAUUUCUUGGGGAAGUGGUGGUCUGUCUACAGCCUUCUGAAAGAAAAAGGGAGGCUUGGGAGUCUUAGGUAAGACAGGUAAAACUGCUGGGCCUUGGCCACUGGGAUCACAGAGUGUUUGUGGGGCAGGGACCUUCAGAAGGGCAACCUGGAGGGCAAAAUGGGUGCAGCCAGGUGAACCUGGAGAUGUGACUGUCCCCAGCUCUGAGUGCCAGGCCCCAGGCAUUGUUCUCGAGUGCAUGAGAGCCAGACUUUGCCAAUUUUGGGGAAGCCACUGGGGACCUGGGCUGGAGCCCAGAGACCUCCACACAGAUUUGGCCAGCGGCAGCCCCCUAGGCCAGCGCUUCCCAAGUCUUGUGCUAGAUGAGCUGCAUUGGGGCAAAUGAAAGGGAGCAGCUUCUUCCUCCCCUUAGCCUGCAGUAGAACCACCUGGGAGUUGGAUAACAAAGCAGCUUCAGGAGCCCCUCCCCAGACUUCCGGGAGGGGGAGGGUUGGGAGGAGGUAGAGGGAGACGGGUAGUGUGUUAGGAUUGUGCAUUGUAAACAAAUUUCCCAGGUAAAGCCUAAAUACAAGUAGUUUGAGAAUUACCAUGUAAAGUUUCUCAACUAGUAGGUAUCAAACUUUGCAAUGUGUGCGUCCUCUAAGCCAGUAAAUCCGCUUCUACAAAUCUAUCAUGAGAAAUAAUCGCAGAACAAAGAUAAAUGCUUAUACAAGAUUGUUCUUUGCAGCACUGUUCAUUCUGGUGGAAACUUAGAAACAAGUACAUGCUGCUCACCAGGAGCUGACUGGGACCUGAGCAACUCUGGGACCUCAGCACGUCGGGAUGUUGUAAUGGGGUUAGUCUGUGCACACUAACCUAGGGCAUGGCUAAGUUGUCCCUUGGUGUCUGCAGAGGGAUUGGUUCCAGGACCCCCACGGAUAUCAAAAUCUGCGGAUGCUCAAGUCCGUUUUAUAAAAUGGUGUAGUAUUUGCAUAUAACCUACACUUUUCUUCCUGUAUACUUUAAAUCAUCUCUAGAUGACUUAUAAUACCUAAUACAAUGUAAAUGCUAUGUAAAUAGUUGUUAUAUUCUAUUGUUUAGGGAAUAUGACAAGAAAAAAAAGUCUGUACAUGUUCAGUACAGAGGCAACCAUGGUAGGCCUUUUGAUCCAUGGUUGGUUGAAUCCGUGGAUGUGGAACCAAUGGAUACUGAGGGCUUACUGUAUAGCCAUCCAUCUCCCUAAGGCCUGAUGAUGCUGAGCAUCUUUGCAUUUGCUUAUUGGCUAUUUGCAUGUCUUCUUUGGAGAAAUGUCUGUUCAUAUCCUUUGCCCAUUUUUAAAUUGGGUUAUUUAUCUUUGUAUUAUUGAGUUAUGAGAGUUACUUAUAUACAGGUCUUUUAUCAGAUAUAUGAUUUGCAAAUAUUUUCUGUUUUCACUUACUUGAUGUGAUUCACUCUAUUCAGAUUUUGUUGUUUCUUGUACUUCCCAGAAAAAAAUUUCACCCAUAUUUUCAAAUUUCUUGAGUUCUUUUUACCUUUUCAGUUACUUAAUUAAACUUUAUAUCUAGUUAACAAUUAUUUAUUUUAAAUAAUCUCUGUCGAAAUAACCAGUGUGGUUUCUGUCCCCUGAUUGAAUCCUGACUGAUACAAAUGUGUACUCUUUUGUGUCUGGUUUUUUUGCUUGACAUUAUGUUUGUGAGUUUAUCCGUGUUGAUGCACGUAGCUGUAGUUUGUUGUCAUUUCUUUGUCCAUUCUGUUGGUGGGCAGGUUGGGUUGUUUAUAGUUUGAGGCUAUUACAGUGAUGCUGCUGUGAGCAGUCUUGCAUCUGUGAACGUGUCCACAUUUCGGUUGGGUGUGUACAUACUGAGGAGUGGACAUGCUGAGUCGUGGGGUAGAUGUAUGUUACAGUAUUCAGCUUUGGUAGAUACUGCCAACCAGUUUUCCAAAAUGGUUGUACCUGUUUACACUCCCCCUGUAGUGUGUGAGGGUUCUAGGUGCUCCCCGUUCUCGCCCUCACAAUACUUGGUAUUGAGAGGUUUCUUUCAUGGUGGCUUCAUUGGGGGGUGUCAGCGCCAUUCGUUGAGUCCCUCCUUUCCCCACUAAUCUGAUACACCACCUUUGUCGUAUAACAAGUCCUGUACAUGUGUAGGUCUGUUCCCGGACUCUCUAUUUUAUUCCAUUGAUCAAUUUGUCUAUCCCUCCACCAGUAUCACCAUCAUGUUUACUAUAGCUUCAUAUUAAGCCUUAAAAUCUAGA